UUUUCCCCAGAUAUAUCGAUUGUUUUCCUCUAGGGAAACUAACCAAACAUGUGACAACUCUUUCCUAUUCUAUUAUUUCGGCUCUGUUACAAAAAUAAAUAAAAAAUAUUGCUUAAAAUACACGAAAAUACUCCCAUCUCAGUGAAGAUUGAGCCAACCAACUGCGCAAUGGAUUCCCUUCUGGUUGAAGACGAGCAUACGAUUGAGGAACUGAUUAAGGAGAGGGACGCACUGCUGCAGCAGCUUCAACAAGAGGUGUCCAAGAACGAGGCCCUGCGUCAACAAGUUCUGGAACAAGAUAUUUCUAUGGAUGUCGUCGUUGGUUGCCGCCUACAGGAGCAGGAGGUCAGAAACAAUAAUGUCAUCUCUGAGCUUAAACGGCAAAUAGAUUUUGCCAACGAAGCAAUGGACAAGAUUCGGGAGAGUAAUAACUGCUCCAUCUGCUUUUCACCUUGGGAGGCGGAGGGAUCCCACCGUAUCGUUUCUCUAAAGUGCGGCCAUCUCUUCGGGGACAGUUGUAUCCGCAUUUACUUGGGUCACAGAAUGGAUUGCCCUAUUUGCAAAAGCAUGGCGGAGCUUCAGGAUCUGCGAUACCUCUAUGGCAUCUCCGUCCUUCACGCAGUCUCAUCGAAAAAUCUCGCAACUGUGAGAGGGCAAGAAUAGUUCAUUUAUUACCUGUUCUUAUAAUUUGGUGUACUCCAUGUUUUUAGAGCACUUGGUCAUUAACAACGGCAAGAAAUCUUCAAAGUAUUUGAAAAAAGAACUUUUUGUUUAUAAGCAAUUUUAAGUUAGUUACUAUUUUAUAUGCGAAGACCACGAUCAGCAGGUUGGGCUUGGUUCGGUUUGCCCCCUCCAGACACAGUGUGUUAUUUAUUUUGCCCAUCGAGUAGUCAAUACAGCAUGGAAGUUCACAAUAUUCAAGGACCAUUUUUCACACAUGCACCCAAGACGCUGAAAUGGAUGAGUAAUUCUCACAGCCCGAGGCAUUUGUGUUGGAAAAUAAAUGGAAUAAUCAAUUUUCGGUUGUCGCUCUGGCCAUCAGUGUGUCAAUGUUUUCACCAUUUCUUUACAUGACGGCUGAUUUAAAUACAUAUAUAUUUGUAAGUUAUACCACUCUUGGACCACAAACAGCAGGCAAGCGGCUGGGAAAUUGUAUAAAAAUGUGCUUCCCAAACAAUUCAUCGCAACGAAGGACGGGAAUUGGAAUAGGCGACCCAAAACUAUAAUAAAUAAACUCUCUACCAAUUCCUUGGAGCGUUCAUCAAAGCAAAAUUGAUAUCAAUCAUACGGACACAACCGCCCACACAAUGGUAUCUGCGUCUGUGUGAUGGCAAAUUGAAACAUUGUAUAAAAACUGGCCAGCCCGCAAACCACCCACUCGGCAAAUUGGCCUUAAAAAUAAAACACCAUCAACACGAGGCCGACGAAAAAAAACGUAUCAAAUUUAAAGGAAUUGCCAAGUUAUUUUUAGCCGAAGCCCGAUCUCCCGCAAAGGAAGAAAAUAAGUGCUGGAUUUUCCUUUGCGGCUUCAACUUUAAAGCCAAAGGAACAAAACAAUGGCUGGAAAAAGAAAACAAAGACGCCGCGGCCAUGCGUGACAUUGCUGGAAAUGUAUGCGGCGGAAAAUGAAGUCAUUACUCCAAGUCACACUCCACAGAUACCGGAACCUUGGCUCCGCCGUUUACCCUUUUCGGUAAACCCUAGUUUUUCCCGACCAUUCCGCAUUCCCCAACGUGUCAACGGCAGUCGUGCGACUCCAUCUCCGUGCCACAGCCACGCAUCGCAUCCCUUGAAUGUCCUGCUCCUCUGACGAUGACUACACCCAACCACUGUGUCGCACAAUAAAAGAAGCAAUAAGGAUCACAAGUAACGACGGCCGACGAGUUUAAGUACAGACUUGAAUACCCUGCCUGUUGGCUUAAAAAUUGUUAUUGUUAGUUUUGGUUGUAAUAUCGCCAAGUGCAUAUUACCAGUUAUUUAAAGUUCGUUUCAUAAAUUGUAUUU